CGCCAAAGGGGAGCUGCCCUA
rnacentral:miRNA from 1 species